rnacentral:rRNA from 1 species
AGCUCCAAUAGCGUAUAUUAAAGUUGUUGCAGUUAAAAAGCUCGUAGUUGGAUUUUGGGUUGGGUCAAUCUGGCCGGUGCAAACCGUGCAGGAUAGGCACUUCCUUCCUCUCAAAGACUGCAGGUGCUCUUCAUUGAGUGUCUGUCAGGAUUUGGGACUUUUACUUUGAAAAAAUUAGAGUGUUCAAAGCAGGCCUUCGCUUGAAUACAUUAGCAUGGAAUAAUGAAAUAGGACGUCGGUUCUAUUUUGUUGGUUUCUAGGACCGAAGUAAUGAUUAAUAGGGACAGUUGGGGGCAUUAAUAUUUAAUUGUCAGAGGUGAAAUUCUUGGAUUUAUGAAAGAUUAACUUCUGCGAAAGCAUUUGCCAAGGAUGUUUUCA